rnacentral:misc_RNA from 1 species
UCUCCGUAGGUGAACCUGCGGAGGGAUCAUUACCGAGUGAGGGUUCCGGCCCGACCUCCAACCCUUUGUGAAUUCGACCCAGUUGCUUCGGGGGCGACCCUGCCUUUCGGGCAGUGCGCCCCCGGUGGACCACCCAACCCUGCAUCGUUGCGUCUGAGUCGAAAUAUAAAUCAAUCAAAACUUUCAACAACGGAUCUCUUGGUUCUGGCAUCGAUGAAGAACGCAGC